rnacentral:rRNA from 1 species
UACGGGGGGGGCUAGCGUUGUUCGGAAUUACUGGGCGUAAAGGGCGCGUAGGCGGUCUGCUAAGUUGGAUGUGAAAACUCUGGGCUUAACCCAGAGCCUGCAUUCAAUACUGACAGGCUAGAGUUCUGGAGGGGAUAGCGGAAUUCCUGGUGUAGCGGUGAAAUGCGUAGAUAUCAGGAGGAACACCGGUGGCGAAGGCGGCAUCCUGGACCGGCAUUGACGCUGAGGAGCGAAAGCCAGGGGAGCAAACGGG